AUACGGAGGAUCCGAGCGUUAUCCGGAUUUAUUGGGUUUAAAGGGUGCGCAGGCGGCCAUUUAAGUCAGCGGUUAAAUCGUGGGGCUCAACCCCAUUCUGCCGUUGAUACUGGGUGGCUUGAUUGCGGUCGAGGUUGGCGGAAUUCGUUGUGUAGCGGUGAAAUGCAUAGAUAUGACGAAGAACACCGAUUGCGUAGGCAGCUGACCAGACCGCAAAUGACGCUCAUGCACGAAAGUGCGGGGAUCGAACAGGAUUAGAUACCCUGGUAGUCCGCACAGUAAACGAUGAAUACUUGUUUUCGGCGAUAUAAUGUCGGAGGCAAAGCGAAAGCGAUAAGUAUUCCACCUGGGGAGUACGUCGGCAACGGUGAAACUCAAAGGAAUUGGCGGGG
rnacentral:rRNA from 1 species